GGGCUGUUGGUCUAGCGGUAUGAUUCUCGCUUUGGGUUGCUUCAAUCUGAUCAUGCGAGAGGUCCCGGGUUCAAUCCCCGGACAGCCCC